CAAACGGCCCUUUUCAGGGCCACCCCAAACUAAACUAACUAAGCGGU
rfam:Macrostomum lignano uti_cns_0005036, whole genome shotgun sequence.